GACGAACCGUGCGAACGUUAUUCGGAAUCACUGGGCUUAAAGCGCGUGUAGGCGGGACGGCACGUCGGUCGCUGAAAGCCCCCGGCUCAACCGGGGAACGGGCGCCGAUACGACCGUCCUGGAGGGACGUAGGGGGACCUGGAACAUCCGGUGGAGCGGUGAAAUGCGUUGAGAUCGGAUGGAACGCCCGUGGCGAAAGCGAGGUCCUGGACGUUUUUUGACGCUGAGACGCGAAAGCCAGGGGAGCGAACGGG
rnacentral:rRNA from 1 species